GUGAGGAAUAUUGCGCAAUGGGCGAAAGCCUGACGCAGCAACGCCGUGUGGGCGAUGAAGGCCUUCGGGUUGUAAAGCCCUUUUCUGGGGGAAGAGGAAGGACGGUACCCCAGGAAUAAGUCUCGGCUAACUACGUGCCAGCAGCCGCGGUAAAACGUAGGAGGCAAGCGUUAUCCGGAUUUACUGGGCGUAAAGCGCGCGCAGGCGGUUUCGUAAGUCGGACGUGAAAGCCUCUGGCUCAACUGGAGGAGGUCGUUCGAUACUGCGGGACUUGAGGUCGGGAGAGGGAAGUGGAAUUCCCGGAGUAGUGGUGGAAUGCGUAGAUAUCGGGAGGAACACCAGUGGCGAAGGCGGCUUCCUGGCCCGUACCUGACGCUAAGGCGCGAAAGCGUGGGGAGCGAACGGGAUUAGAAACCCGAGUAGUCC
rnacentral:rRNA from 1 species